UCGCUCUUGUUUCUUUUCAAAUCGUAUAAAUCUUUCGCCUUUUACUAAAGAUUUCCGUGGAGAGGAACAACAAGAGUUUAACUCAAUUUUUUGAUGCUCUGCUUAAAUCUUGCGGGCU